CCUACGGGAGGCAGCAGUGAGGAAUAUUGCACAAUGGACGAAACCCUGAUGCAGCGAAGCCGCGUGAAGGAAGAAGUAUUUCUGUAUGUAAACUUCUAUCAGCAGGGAAGUAAAUGACAGUACCUGACUAAGAAGCCCCGUCUAACUACGUUCAAGCAGCCGCGGUAAUACGUAGGGGGCAAGCGUUAUCCGGAUGUACUGGGUGUAAAGAGAGCGUAGGCGGUUUAGCAAGUCAGAAGUGAAAGCCCGGGGCUCAACUCCGGGAUUGCUUUUGAAACUGUUGAACUAGAUUGCAGGAGAGGUGAGUGGAAUUCCUGGUGUAGCGGUGAAAUGCGUAGAUAUUAGGAGGAACACCAGUGGCGAAGGCGGCUUACUGGACUGUAAAUGACGCUGAGGCUCGAAAGUGUGGGGAGCAAACAGGAUUAGAUACCCCUGUAGUC
rnacentral:rRNA from 1 species